GCCCCGCAAGCCCCGCCCCUGAGCGCUGCAGUCUAGACCCCGCGCCUAGCUCCUCUGAUUCUCAGACGCCUGAGGACUCGCUGUGGUCGUGUCCGGAGGCCCCCAGCUGAGACGGCGCCAGUUUUGGCUCAACUGAAAAGUAAACACCCCAGCGAGAAUCUCCCAAAUGCAGGGACUUGGGAAACUGUGCAAGAUGCCUUGCUAAGUGAACAGAGCCAUGGGAACAACUCUAUCAUAAAAUACUGAGGUGGGUUAUUUCUUAACGACAUAUAGAGAAAUUCCUGAAGGUACAUUGAGAAUUUAUGGAAUAGUGCCCAAGUAAAUGUCUACAGAAGAUAUAGAUAUCUGUAGGGUAGAGGAGAGUUAAAUGUUCAUUUUACAUCCUUCUAGACUAUACAACUUUUGUUGAUUAAUAUAUUAUUUAAAAAAUGUCCCCUGGCACCCCACUGGCCUGGCAUACCCUGCCUCCCACAGGACCCCAUGGUGGCAAGGAGCGCAACUAGAAACACUGGUGUAUUAGGUGUGGACUGCAUAUGCCACAAAACUAAGUAUGCAAAAUUAUUACUUUCUUCAACUUGAAUGAGCACCAUUUAAUUUUUAUUUCGAUCUUUUAUCCAUGCUUGAAAUAGAUUUUUAAAAAUCUGGUCAGAUUAAUCUACAAAUGCUGGAUUCCACAGGCAUUUCAAGUUUAAAUGCCACAUUCUGCAGUUGCCACCUCUCCCCUGCCCUCCAUCCUAAGUUCCACAACUACCAAGAGGGAAGUUGGUGCAGGCAGGGGGUCCUCCCACUGUUGGAUGGGCCCUGCCAUGGUGUGCCCACUGUUCACAGGCCCAUGUAGCACUUGGCAGAAUUAGCCUCACUGGAACCCCUCACAAGGUCAGGUCACAGCAGGGCUUGGCCCCUCUCAGUUGCUGAGGUCACUCUGAGGCCUCUGUGAGGCUGACACAAGCUUCCUCUCCUGGCCCCUCUUCCUGAAUGUCCCCUCACUGGUGCUGUCAUCUGGGAGGGCUGGGGAGUUUUUAAACAUCUGCACAGCUGAAUAGAAACUCUGUAGGUUCAGUGCAAGAUCAAAACGUUGGAUCCCUUGUACAAGAAACCAGGGUGGUGUGCAGUUAAAAAUAAUAGAAAGCAUUUUCUUUUAAAUUAAUUAUUACAUAUUAAAUGUAAUAAAAGUGAUAAUGAUGCAUGAAUAAAAACAUAAAGUUACACUUUACCAAGCAAUAACCUUCCAAAGUCAUACUUUAUGUUAUACAAUAAAUAAUAUUAUUCUCACGAUUCCUUCCAGAAGAAUUGAUAAAAUUCACAUGAUGAAAUGCCUAGAAGGACAUUAACACAAGGACAUAUGCAGUAGUAAAUUUGCAGUGAUUUGUACAGCUGAGACUAACUGAGCGUUAGAUGAAGAAGGAAUGAUCUUGGUGGUGGUCACUAAGGGGACUGCCUUAUAAUCAUUUAUUAAGUUCUCUCAUAUUUUGGUGCUUCUAUAUAUAUUUAUUUUACCUCAUAUAAAAUAUUUUUAAGCAUUUGCAAUAUAUAAAUAUCAAUUUAUGUAAAAACCCCCAACAGGACUCUCUCUUUGACCUGGUCAAUGCCAGGAUUCCACUCAAUGGGAAUUGUCCUCUUGGUGACUUUAGAAAACUGAUGGGAAAUCAUCAUUAGUCAAAGAUCCCAAAGCAAGUGUGGAACACACCAGUGAAAAAAGCAUGGGCUUUUCCAGGAUGAUUUACCAUUUAUUGGUUUUCAAUUGCAAAUUUCUUAAUCCCAGGAAGAAAAUUUGUGCUGAGGACAAGUCCCUACCACUCAGUUUGUCAGCUGGUGAUCUUAUUUGUGAAUGUCCUCUUGAAUCAGGCAUCAGUUGAUAAAAGAGUCACAGUUGACAACUCACCCCCAACAACGAAACUGUGUGUAUCUUCUAUCAUGUACAUUGUCAGAUAUUCAUACAAGAGUUCAAUUGAAAGAGAAAUAAACUAACAAGCCACCAUAUCUAUUUCAGACAAAGAUGGGCAGCCUUACCUUGGCAUUAGAUCGGGUCUCCACCCUCUCAUGAGAAAGCUCCUCCAAAAGGCCCUCAUGGGGAGUGAGGAGGACACAGAUUAACUGUCAGUCAUUGGUGGUGUUGCUCAGGAAUUACUCAGGGACCCCUGCUUGAUAUGGAUACAGAACUAGAGUGUAUGGAUGUGGUUGAUUAACAAGCAUAGAAUAAGCUGCUGCUAGGUCAUCCUCUUUGGCAGGAGAAGCAUAGAAGAGAAGAGGAAAAGGAGAAGAAUGAGACACAGAAUCCUCAGCUUUGGAGCUAAAGACAGCUUAAACCAACGUGCAGUGUUCCACUUACAAAUGGAAUUAAAUACAUGCUAUGAUUAAACGAA